GGAAGUAAAAGUCGUAACAAGGUCUCCGUUGGUGAACCAGCGGAGGGAUCAUUACCGAGUUUACAACUCCCAAACCCCUGUGAACAUACCUAUACGUUGCCUCGGCGGAUCAGCCCGCGCCCCGUAAAACGGGACGGCCCGCCCGAGGACCCCUAAACUCUGUUUUUAGUGGAACUUCUGAGUAAAACAAACAAAUAAAUCAAAACUUUCAACAACGGAUCUCUUGGUUCUGGCAUCGAUGAAGAACGCAGCAAAAUGCGAUAAGUAAUGUGAAUUGCAGAAUUCAGUGAAUCAUCGAAUCUUUGAACGCACAUUGCGCCCGCCAGUAUUCUGGCGGGCAUGCCUGUUCGAGCGUCAUUUCAACCCUCAAGCUCAGCUUGGUGUUGGGACUCGCGGUAACCCGCGUUCCCCAAAUCGAUUGGCGGUCACGUCGAGCUUCCAUAGCGUAGUAAUCAUACACCUCGUUACUGGUAAUCGUCGCGGCCACGCCGUAAAACCCCAACUUCUGAAUGUUGACCUCGGAUCAGGUAGGAAUACCCGCUGAACUUAAGCAUAUCAAUAAGCGGAGGAA
rnacentral:rRNA from 1 species